ensembl:lncRNA
UUCCAACCUGUAUACUUCUAUGAUUCUGUGAUAACGAGUGUAGAACAAUAACUUCUGAAGUCAGAGGACUGAGGACAUCCAUCCUGCUAAGCCCACUGCGAUAUUCAGGCAUGCAUUUUCAAAGCUUUGUAGAAGCAGAAGGUGUGCAUUUUGGGGCUUCAAUUACAGUCUUCUAGUCUCAGGUGAAAGCACUGUGGCCACAGAAAGCAAGUAGAGGUUGUCAGAUCAUGAAAAGCUAUUCUGUCAGAAACCUACUACUAUCACACCUUAGUUGUCAAAUUUGUUUGAAAACCAUUUACCAGUUUCUAAUUCAAAGAAAACUACCAGGGCUUUAAUGGCUUUGGGAAAUAGGCAUAGGUAGCCCAUAUUACAGCCAACCACUUCUACAAGUCAAAGUAAUUAAAGUUUCAGUUCAUUUCCUAUGUCUUCUAAUAGCACCUCUACAAAAUUAGUUUUGUGGAGUUUCUGAUUUCUGAAAUAAAAGCCUAAAUUCUGGCUUCAGCUCACUUGAGGAAGAAGGCUGCAGAGUACCUUGACAACCCCUCUCCCUCUGAUCUGUUGAUGGCAUCUGCAGUCCUCAGUGCAAAUUACAGCAGCCAGAGGAACUGUUCCUGAUAAUAACCAGAGCAUGACAAUACUGACUACCUCUCUGAUGUAUCCUCCCGCCAGAAGCUCGGAAGGGAGAACAGAGAGCAGUUCUGCCAGCUAUCUGCUGCCCUACAGAGAUUCAGUGUGCUAGGUCUGACCCUGCUGAUAUUACGGCCCUUCCUCCCACUGACAAAAGGAAGAUGCCACACGCCACAGUAUUUGCAAGUUAGAGUUUUUAGCUGAUGGCCUAUUAGCCCCAGCUCCUCUGGGUGGGGACAGGUCACUCCUCCCUAUCUCAAACUGACUGCUCCUCCUCUCUUGUGCGUUGGUGUAAAUCCGCAUCAGUGCGAUGAGAAUUGUUGGGUAUUUUAUAGUAGUAAAAAAUGUCAGGAGGUCAAGACUUGCAGGUCAAGACAGAGUGGUCUCCUUGUGCCUUGCUGAGCACAAGGGAGAGCGAGCCCCACAGCACUGUCAUUGGGAAGACUGUGCCUGAGAGCUCCCUGCUCAGCUAGAGCCUUCCCAAUGUGCAUUUAAUUCCCUUUUCAGCUGCAUAGCAACUAAUGACCAUAAAAACAGCUCUUAAAAGCCCCACAUUACUCCUGUAUUUAAUUAACUUUUAGAGCAUCAGACCAUAGUAUUUAAUCACAGCCUGCCUAGUUUCAGGGAUUGCUUGAUCUGAGGCUCACUGGUGCUUGGCUUCCAUCGGAAGUGAUUCACUACUGCUUGUCUUUACAUUUUGCACAUGGGCUGGUCUUUUUGCAGCUGUCUUCUGCAGCAGGUCAAACGCAGGUCCUUCAUCCUCACACCUCUCACAUUUGCACACAUGCUGACCUCCUCCAUCUUACUCUUUUUAUUAGAUAAGCUCAGUCUCAAAACACCUACUGCUUCUGAACUAAGAUUAAGCUGUGUCUGAGUGCUGCUGCAGCCUAAUGGAUAGGUGUAAGGCUUCUCUCUGUCAGCAGGCUUUUAGGGGCCAUCUGUGCAAGUUGAAUUCUCCUAUUCUGGAGAGCUGAAGGACCUAUGCUUUAUGCCCUAUAGUAAAGUGAAAUACUAGGUACUAAGGGUGCACAGCCAGGUGGAUGCCUUCCAAGUAGCCAUAGUUUGUUCCCUGAGUGGUUGCAAAGGAGACAGAAUCUCCUUGAGCACUGCUAACAGAUGAAUUGUUUGCAGACGUCCAUCAGACUGUCAGUGGCUCCCUCCAAGCCCAGUCCUGCUAUGCUGUGACUGGACUCAGCAAGCAGAUGUUCUGACCUGCAGUUCUUUGUGCCGAGCAAUACACUAACAGCGGGAACGAAUGAGAUUGAUUAAGGGAUAAAAGUUCUUAUGACCAGCAGCUGCCUUGUGACCUAUCUUCUUCUCAGUCACUGGGCACUGUUGCUCUGUUUCUGCCUUAAACUCUCCCCUCUGAGCGUUUUACUACUCUACCUAUAGAGAUGCAGGCCUCCCCAUAACUCUGGUAGUGUUCACUUAAUUUAAUUUUAAAGGCACACGUUGGUUAAAAUUAUGUGCUGAUUCUUAACAAUGCUUCAUAAUCUUUUGUUCAGGCACAUUUGCGUAUAUUUGACUUUAAGGCCACUUCUGCAAUAAAUCAUCAUUUUCUG